GGCGUCGGUGACGGGAACAAUCACGAACCCCAAAAGAAUCUCGUCUGUUAAGUUCUUAAAUAACUCCCUCCUGGCCGUCGCAGGAGAUGAUGAGAUCGUGAGGUUGUGUGAAUUGGAAAAACUGAAAUGCGUGUGUGAGUUCAAGGCUCAUGAAACCAGGGUGAAAGCAGUGGACAGUUUUAUGAUGGAGGAUUACUGAUUGUUGGUGACGGC